CUUAUGCACACUGGUGCAUAGCCUAACUCGGGGCUUGAACCCAUGAGCCAUGAGAUCAUGACCUGAGCUGAAUUCAAGAGCCGGAUGCUUAACCAACUGAGCCACCCAGGCGUCCUGUUGUUAAUCGUUAAGUGCGAUCUGUGGCCAGGAUGUUCCAUCUUCCCAAAACUUGGCUCUUCCCUUGGCUACAGGAGAUCUUGGCCGGCAUACGUAGCCUUGCUUUCCACCACGUCUGCAGUGCUGUCGUUGGACUUUACUGGGGACAACCAUAUCACACUUUCACAGAAAGCCCCUUUUUCGUUGUGACACGAAGCAAAACAUUUACUCCUGAUCUUCAGGCAUCUGCAAACAGUUUGCCCACAGGAAUGAGCUCCAGUUGCCCUCUGUGGCUAAGGCUUAAGAACAUAGCGCUCAGAACUCUCAGCACCUGGGGGGCUCAGCCGGUUAAGCGUCAGACCUCAGCCCAGGUCAUGAUCUCGCAGUUGGUGAGUUCAAGCCCCGAGUCAGGCUCUGUGCUGACAGCUCGGAGCCUGGAGACUGCUUUGGACUCUGUGUCUCCCUCUCCUUGCUCAGUGGCACUGAGACUCUGGAGAUGGACUGCCUGGCUCCUCCACUUUCUAGCUGUGUGGCCAUGGACAAGUUACUUAGCCUCUCUGUGCCUCCGUGUCCUCAUCUAUAAAGUAGGGAUGAUACUGGUGCUUCCUCACAGUGCUGUGUGCUCUAAAGGAUGUAGUCUGUGAAAGCUCUCUGGGC